CCUACGGGCGGCAGCAGUGAGGAAUAUUGGUCAAUGGACGAGAGUCUGAACCAGCCAAGUAGCGUGAAGGAUGACUGCCCUAUGGGUUGUAAACUUCUUUUAUAAAGGAAUAAAACGAGGCACGUGUGCCUUUUUGUAUGUACUUUAUGAAUAAGGAUCGGCUAACUCCGUGCCAGCAGCCGCGGUAAUACGGAGGAUCCGACCGUUAUCCGGAUUUAUUGGGUUUAAAGGGAGCGUAGAUGGGUUGUUAAGUCAGUUGUGAAAGUUUGCGGCUCAACCGUAAAAUUGCAAUUGAUACUGGCAGUCUUGAGUACAGUUGAGGUAGGCGGAAUUCGUGGUGUAGCGGUGAAAUGCUUAGAUAUCACGAAGAACCCCGAUUGCGAAGGCAGCUUACUAAACUGUGACUGACAUUGAUGCUCGAAAGUGUGGGUAUCAAACAGGAUUAGAUACCCUAGUAGUC
rnacentral:rRNA from 1 species